AAACAGGAUUUACAGAAAAGCCAAAUACUACUUCAAAAGCAGGAUACAAAAAAACUACAGCACUUGGAAAACUAAUCUUCCUCCUGGCUCUUCUGUAUAAUUGCUGGUGAAGUCAUGAAAUCAAACAUAUGGGAAAUCUAUCAAGAUUUUAUUUUAUUAUGUUGAGUAUCUGCUUGAUUUAUUUAUUUUAUUUCAUUGCUAAACAUAAAAUACAAACUCCUUAAAACCAUUUAUCUGUUGGUUUGUUUAUUGCAUUUAUAUUCCAUAUUUUUUUCUGAAAGCAGGAAUAUAUGGGGUCACCCCUAUUUUAUUCCUCAAACAGCAGCCUUGUUAAGAAAGUUAUACUGAGAAUGACUUAGCAAGGGUUAACUCACAAGUUCCACAUUUUUAAAAAUACUUUAUUAAAUUUCAUUAAACUACAAAAAAGUGAGGGAUUCAAAAAGGUAGAAAGGUUAAAAAGUGAAAAAAGAAAAAGGAAGGGGAAAAGUGAGGAAAGGCUUCCAACCAUACAGAUACAAAUAUUUAAUCAAAUAUAUUUCCUUACUAAUAUAACCAUAACAAAAGAAAAAAGUCCCGUAUUUCCUCCAUUUUAUUGAUCCAUUAUAACAAAAAUCCCACCUCAAAGACAUGCAUCUUACAUUUGUAUAUACAUUUAUCUCAUAAAAAAUACAUUUCACCAAAAAAUUCAUUCCUUGGAUCUACAUAAUUAUCAAUAAUCAAAAUUAAUAUUAUACCCAAUCUUACAAAAUUAAUCUGACAUAAAGAAGAAAGUAUUUUGUGUGAAAAAUGUAGAUCUACCAGAAAAGAUGGAAAAGUAUAUGAAUAUAAGAAAUUCUGAGAUAAUUGAAUAGAUGAAGGAUGGACCAAAUUUUCUUGGCAAGAGGAAUGCUGCGCUGCCAAGGAGAAUUAUUCAACAAUGGAUGUUGCAGAGAUAUUUACAAUAGAGACUUAUGAACUUUGGAAAUGAAAUGCAAUUGUUGGGAAAGUUCCCAAAUAAAAAUGUAAAACAAUAUUUCAUUACUAUUUUUUGCUUUCAUAUAUGUAGUGUAGAAUAGGUCAAUUGAGUUGCAAAUAGUUGUAGAAGCUCAAAUUUUGCCUCUGUUUUGCAAGGGAGGAAGCUGUUGUAAUAGAUUUGUCAGUGUUCAACUAGACUAGAGCAAUAAUAUGUGUUUUUGUUCUUUUAAUCCACUUU